GACAGAGGGUGCAAACGUUGUUCGGAAUUACUGGGCGUAAAGCGCGUGUAGGCUGCUUCGCAAGUCGGAUGUGAAAGCCCUGGCUCAACCCAGGAAGUGCAUUCGAAACUGCAGAGCUGGAGUCCUGGAGAGGAAGGCGGAAUUCUCGGUGUAGAGGUGAAAUUCGUAGAUAUCGAGAGGAACACCGGUGGCGAAGGCGGCCUUCUGGACAGUGACUGACGCUGAGACGCGAAAGCGUGGGGAGCAAACAGG
rnacentral:rRNA from 1 species